AUUAGAUUUGAUUUAUAUUCAUUAUUGCGCAGAUAAACAUAAAUUUCAUAACUCGUGAAAUGAUUUUAAUAUCAUAUUUGAAUAUGAUGUAUUUAGCGUGUUCAUAUGAAGUAUUCCAUAAAGCAAUAGAAAGUAUAAGUUUUGCUUAAUGGCAAAAAUGUAUUCAGCUAAACUUAUACUUUCGUUACGGAUUGGAUUUGAAGAAAAACAUGGCGCUUGAAUGAUUUCGAGUAUAUCAAGUCAAUCAGCAGCUGUGCCUUUUCGGUGAAAAUAUGUAGGAUUUACCGGCAAUAAACACAAGGAGCUUCCGGAGCAACCAUCUCAGCGCAUCGGCCGAUUUUCGCUACCGCUAACCAAGAAAGGGUUCACAAACGUUUGCUCAAAGAAGGGAAAAUGACAAUAUGGUGAACAUGCAGAUUAGCCAGCAGCUUCACCCACUUCUUCAACAUCAUUCGCGGAUAAUUUGGAAAGUGAUCAUAAAACCUCCCACGCAAUACAGCAGAACGGCAACGGAAACGGCAGGAUUGACAGUUUCUGUCGCCGUUCCACUGAAUUGCGUUUGGAGCCUAGUUUGGGGCUUAAAGAGUAAUAAAUGUAUAACCACAUUCAAGUUGUUGAUUUUAUUUAUGUAUCUAGAAAACGUGGAAAA